rnacentral:sRNA from 1 species
UUGUAGACUCCACGACCAAUGUUAUGGGCAAGUUCACUGUUUCUGGUUUUUCCCUCAGUUGGUUGGCUAUUCCAUCAAUUGCACGUCUCAUGCCGAUUGCUACUGUUCUGAUUCCCCUCAGUACGCCAGCUGUGCCUACUCAACAUGUAUGUGUGACUUGACUCUAGCACAGUGUCUAGCCCAACAUCAGUAUCACAGCGCAUUCAAAAAUUUCGAUAGACGACACUGUCAUCUAGAGCUAUUAGGCCUAUAGUGCAGGCUAUAAGACUAGUGCAUUAAUAAAAUAAAAUGAUUUGUCUUAAUAAAACCUAAUCACAGAUCUA